rnacentral:tRNA from 1 species
GACGGAGCUCAGCUGGUAGAGCAUCCCGAUUUUAAUCGGGAGGGCCCUGGGUUCGAAUCCCAGCGGGAUCA